rnacentral:lncRNA from 1 species
ACUAGGCAAACAAAAGUUUGUCACAGCAUGUGCGCAGUUCACUUUACCUAUGUGCAUUCAUACUAAAAGCCAUUCGUCCACAAGCAAGUUAUUUAUUUGCGCUAUUGACGUAAGCUUUCAUGAAGGCCAAACCAAUGCUGAUUCGUCAAUGCUGAUUGUCAGCUUGAAAGUAAAGAUGAGCAAAGUGGUUCAACUGAAUCUUAUGGUUGCAGUAGGGCAUAUUAGAAGUAAGUGACAAGUAUGUGUCAGCAAUUGUUUAUGCUUCUUAACCCUAGAUACUUUUGAUUCAAUCCUUGUGGUGAUGACGUAAUGUGGCAGAAAACAGUAGACACACUUCAUCUCAUCGGAAACCCUGAAUGAUUGGUAUUUGUGAGCAUGUGUGCCUGUGAGUGUGUAAGGGUGGAUGUGGGUGUGUGGGUAUGUAUGUGCGUAUGUGAGGGUGUGCGUGUCAUCUUACACGUAAUUUAGUGAAUGAGUGAAUUGGUACUAGUUUUCAAGUAAAUACGUGCAUGAGUGCGUGUAGUCAGUGGUGUAUGGAACUAGCAUUGUGCCUGCCUGCUACCAACGAAAUAUGCAAGCCCACACAGAGAAAACAGUUUUAUUGUGCAAAACUACAUGCUGCUGGCAGGGUUUACAUGCAAGUCACAUAUUGCAGGUCUACCAUAAGCAGAGCGAUGUGACAUCUGAUAAGUACCUAACUCACAGCAACACAUACUCUGCAUGUCCAGGGAAAGUGAGUUGUGCUCGGAACAGAUUGGCCAGACAGUUUUGUCCUAUCAAAUUCAGAAUUGUUUCAUCCUCCUCACAGGUGCCAUUAACAUCAUGAGCACACAUUAUUGCUAGAUCUGAAUGCCAGCUGCCUAUUGCACCGCUGGCACGUAGUUUGAGACAAAGAUGCCGCCAGUUUUCCACCUCGCUGCUGAUACAAUGCAAUACUGCUACAAAAUGUCCGUGUUCUGUGUUUUUAGUGUUGUAUGUUUGUAUAUGAGUCUUGCGUCGUGUGAACAUUACCUACAUGAGUUAAAGUGUUCCCGCGAAAGUAGGUACUGAAUUAGCUCAAGCCAGGAUUGCGUUGCGGAUAUAUUUGUAGGCCAUACAAUGUUUUAUGGCGUCAUUUACGACAUUUCCUGUUUUUCUUGUCGUUGUAUGCACGUGAGUUGUGCCGCAUGUUGCGCUUGUAAAUCAUGUUCUCAAUGUCAUUUUCUUUUGGUACAAUUGGUCACCACUACACAUCACUCGCAUACACUCGCCCAAGCAAGUCGGAUAUCAAUCACUGUCCAGAAGUGCAUGAUGCAUUCAACCACGCAUAGAACACUGGCACACCAAGAACAUGAACUCACGCAAAAACGAGAGGGCUAUCACACGACUUCGCAUUGGACACACCGCUAUCACACACAACUACAUCAUCACAAGAAGCCCGAGACCGAAAUGCAACACCUGCAACACUUUCAUCACUGUCAAACAUCUGCUACUCACAUGCCCACAAUACCAACACCACAGGACACACAUACAAACAUACUGCAGAGACGCCAACAUCCCACUAACACUCACAACACUGCUCGGGGACUUACACCCCGAGCUAACAACACUACUCAUCCACUAAAGACACAACACUGGGCUGAUCAAUGACCUGUAAAUCUCCUCCCCUAGAGCCAAGGACAAAAAAGCCAAAAAAGCCAAAAAAAGAAGCAAAAAAGAAAAAAACAAUAUUCAAAACAAUGAGAAUCAAAAUAAAAAACCCCAGAAUGGCAAAAUGGCAAAAAAAAAAACAAAAACAAAAAAAAAUAAUAGAAGGGGCAAUCCGGCUACCCGGGAGGAGAUAGCUAGGAACCCAGUCCCACCCCUCAGCCCACCCUUGCGAGCCAAGAAGACAACGGACACUUCAAGGCAACGGACGGACCAACAACGAAGACGGACGACAGAACCGGGCCCAAAUACAGGACGCUGUGGUGGCCCGUAAGCUACAAAUACCAUACCAUACCAUACCAGUGCAUCAUGCAGCAGAAUAAGCUUCAUUGAACACACUCGUCAUCAUGAACGGCAUCUAGGAGUUUCAUGAGUUUGGAUCUGUGACCAGUAAGUGGAAUGGGAGCAUAAUGGUACACGCUACCAAACCAGAUAUGCCUACACAACGUUAAUAUUUUUUUUUUUGUAAUGCAACAAGGGAACGAAAAGCGUGUUCAAAACUUUAACUCCUUGUCCUUAUGUGCCUGCAGGCUGAUUUCGCAGUAUCCAAUGGCAACCGUGUAUGACCAGGCGCCGCUUGGACGCCUUGUCCAGUCACGUCUUCUGGGACUGUGUGAUGACUGCCUCUGCAUUCUCAAGUGCCAGUUUCUGCCUCCGGCCCAUUUCAUUAUCAAAGGAUGCUGUUAGCUUAACGAACAGCUCUGCUCCAAGAUUCCAAACGGUUUUACGGUACUGUAUGCCUACAAAACGUUAAUAUUUUUUGGAGGCGGUAAUACUCGGAUGAACUGACCUUUAUGGGUGGGUAUUCAACGUUGAAUAAAGUAGGCUUGUAGCCCUCUGCCUAUUGACUUCUAAGGGUUUUAGUAAUAUUUAUCGAAUAUCUCAUCUGAAAUGCAUUUUCACUCACAGUCGUCGAAAUCGAAAAAUCAUAAGCUUAGAAAUCCGCGGACUUGACAUAUUAUAUUUUAUCGACGAUUCGUUUCGACUUGCUGUCAUGUCAGCUAAUCAUCCGUUGCUUCUCCUAUUUUCACAGGUGCAUUACCAGUCAUCUUUACCGUCGAUACCGUUGAAGAUUUUACCGUCGAUCACGGAGCACCCAUUGCGCUGGCCGUUGCUGGCACUUUUUUAUUUGUCACUAGCUAUUAGUUAUCUGCAGAUAUACAUUAGCCACCUGUACACCCGCUUACACUAGCUCUCAUCAUCUAGUUCUACGUAUGUGUGUGUUUGUUUUAAUUGUAUUGCCGAUGAAUUCGGUAGACAUGCUCCGCCCGCAAACAUGUACCACAUGAUGCAGUUCACUGAAUGUAGCAGUUAAUCACUCGUAAAAAGCGGUCAUGUUUUCGUAUAGUGUAGGUAUGCAUCUAUGUAAGCAUGUGUUCACACUCAUGAGCGAUCCACACAUGAUAUUGCAUUUCCUGUUCAGUUAUAUUUUUAGCACUGGAACACGAUGCUCAUACACUGUGUUGUUAUCUUUCUUUUUUCGCCUGCUCCUUCCUCCAACUUGUGUCUUUGAGUAUUUCAGUCACAUGCUCAAACGUUCUUAAAUGCUCUCGCCAUCGGUUUACGGAUGCGUUGAAAACGGACAUGUGAUGACCAAAUUUAACAAUAUGCGGACAAUGGAUCGACUUCUUGAAGCCUGUGGACGUGAUACACCUUCUCCAUCACCAUCAAGAGGUCAACAUUUUCGAAGACACUUGCGUACGGCUGCAGUGUCCGGCGCAAUGCUGAAUGCGACCUGUUAUCUGUUGGAUCUACUCUGUGAGCCCGAACCCCAGUGCAAUGGCACUGUUCGACUAUAGCGCUGGACGUCGUCUACUUUUUGCUAGAGGGAAAGGUCAUCAUCCGUCCAUGAACUUCGGGCUGCUCACAGCUAUAUUGCCUUGGCAAGUUCUUUGAGCACUCAAUACUGGACUUGGGCUGCGAAAGCUAAUGACAAUUUGGGGAGCUUGAUAUUGCAAUGGCUAUGACGUGAAGGCUCAAUAUGACGAACAGCUCGACUAUUCACCAUUGUCAACGCUUAUGAUAGCUAAAUAUCAUUGUGCUUGGUGUACAUUCACGUCUCGUUUCCUUGCUCCAUUUGUACCUCACCGGUCGUCCGUCCCCACAGGCCUCGGCUGCAGCACAAGCCACAUUCAUCGGCCCAAUCAUCAGUUAUUCAUCCUGCAAGUUUUAAGUCACUUCGUUGUGACCCGGACAUCGUCAUCUUUCAACGAGUUCAAAUGAUUAUUUCAUUCAUCAUCGUCGAUCAGACUCAUCAUGUAAAGACACUUCCAUAAUGCUAGCCGCCAUCUACGUUUGUGCAGGAAGCAAAUAUCAGGUUGUUAUUAGCUGCGGGCUACUCAGUACCGACUGAACUACUGGCAGUAGUGUGCGAGCACCUAAUACUUGUAUUGUGAUACCAAAGCUAAAACGGAUGAAAGCUUAGCACAUAGGGCCCUACCGCUUUCCACACACACAAACAAAACUUGACUUUGGGCAUUAGCACCAUGGCAGGAUAAACAGGCAGUUUCGCUGUUUUUCACUGCUUUCAUUGGGAGGUGUUACUGCUCAUUCCCGUUCUAUGUGAUGUUAGAACAGCCCUUCACCAUAGUCCUGUUUUCUCCUUUGCCGUUUUCCAUAGACAUCAGAUGCGACAUGCACUCCAACGAUCGGUCAGGCGCAUCACCGUCAAUCCGGUCGCCUGUUAAGCAGUUCGUAAUCACCGUCAGUCUUCGACAUCUGUCAACACACUUAUCCACAUUAUCGCCUUACUUUUGAUCUUAUCAAUAUGCAAGAAUGAGUGCAAAAUGCAUUCCAAUAUUGCAUCAGUUGAUGUUGUAUCGCAAUGACACCGCGUCCUCACCUCACAUCUGUUGUGCAUACUUGAUCACGAAUGCCAGUUAUACGCAGAUUCACAUGGUGAAGUUUUACUCCGUUGACGUUUUCUUUCCAUUCUUGUAGUCGAUCAAGAGGGAUUACAGUUGCACAUGCGGCCUUACACAUGCGUUCUUACAUGUUAGCUGAUUGAUAUGUUGGACACACUGGUUCCUGUGACUCCAAGUAGUUCUGCAUUGGUAUUGCUUCACUUUAUAUGUUCUACCCAAAGAUCGUUUCUAGUUUUGUCUUAGCUUGCAGCUGUAUGCCAUGAACAUACAGGGUACUGCGCAUCUUUAUCGUGACAUUCCUGUAGUUUCGUCACUUUCGCGGAUGAUUAGGACCAUGAGCUCAGUUGCAGAUGCGUCCAGCAGCCACCGACAUUUCUACACUUUAAAUUCCUAGUCUCGGAUCUUAUCCACAUGCCAACAUGAUUUGAACAUUUCACACGUUUAGUGAUGAAAUGAGCAGGUAUCAUCUACUACAUUAUAUUUUCAUGUAAAGCACACUCCAGUCUGUGAAAAAAGAAAACCAUUAGGAGCAACAAUCAUGCCUUAGACAGUAUAGUUGCCAUAGAUAUUACGUUGUGCAGCGGGCAGGCCGGUGCACGAAAUGGCGAGUGUGAAUGCAGGAAUGCGUGUGAAAAACUGCCUAGGUGUGGAGUGGCUGGUUUGUCUUCCGUUACAUCGUAACGGGCUCUUGACGUAGUCUUUUUUUAGUAACACCAAUCAUCUUUCGAACUUGAAUUAACGUAAUUGAAAGAUGGCUAUCACAUUUGGAGCCAACUUUUUUGCUAACUGCGUCAAGGGCGGGCAGCGCGGUGCGUGGAUGCCUUUUGGUAAAGCUCACGUCCUAAUAUACUAUCCAGCCCUUACCAAGCGUGCAUCCAUGUUUCCUCCAUCCGGCUCCUCGUGCCGCUGCCUGGAAUAUUAGCCUACGGCUAAUAUACCAAGAGAUGGAAAACUUUUCGUUGGUAUGGAAUAUGGAUGCCUCGUGGUUCAACUGGUGAUGUUCAAAACAACUGUACCGUGUGUCAGGUAGGUCUUACUCACUUUCCGCUUCAUUUUUUUCUCGGCCGCGUAGGAAAUAUGAUUUGACGGUAAUCGUGGCGCUUUUGUUUCAGUGGCUGAAUGACAGCGACAUCUAUAACUCAGGCUGCACUCAGAGCCCGAGUCUGAGUUUGGCUGAAAAAAUCGCCCAUAAAAAAUUCGCCCAUCGCCCGCCCGCCGCGAAACGGGUGAUUUUGUUUUUGCGUCGUUUUCGGUAAAAGGUUUAUUUUCGGUUGGCGGCGGCCGGGCGCAUUUUUGCGGUUUUUGCGUUUGACGGCGGGCGGCCGUUUUUUGCGGCGUUUUGCGGUUGGCGGCGUAGAGUGCA